GUACUAUUAGCCUUUCAAUUGUUUCCUUGGUUUUAAUUUUUAUAUAUUGUCUUAUUUGCAUAUUUUUACUAUAUAUUAUGAGAUUAAUUUCUUCAUCUAUUGAUGUGUGUUCUUCUAAUUUAUAUGAUGUUGAGUGAUGAUAAAGAAUCAACUCAAACACACCAAUUUAUAACAAAACAAAUUUAUAAGUUUAACACAAUUAUUUUGAUGCUUUCUUUUAAUCAUUUUAUUAUACUUGUAUAUAAUGUACUAACCUUUAAAACAUACUAUCCUUCUUCACUCAAACUCAGUUAAGUUAUUAAAAUAUAUGUAUCCACAAACAAUUCAUAAAUUUAUUUAUUAAACAACUUUGUUUCUUUCUAUUUUCUUUUUUAUGGUCAAGUGUAUUAGGAUUUGAGUUUUCCCACAAAAGACCGUGUGGAUUUUCAACAAUCUUUUAAGGAGGUCAAAUUUCAGUGUUCACCGUACCUCUAAAGAUGACGAUUUAAGCAAACAUGUAAUUCAUAACAACGAAUGUUAUAAACGCAAGUUUCAUGCUAAUGUUUGGGGGACAACGUUAUUCCAUUACAAGGUGUCAUGGACAAGAAGAAUGUUCGUACUUCUUUUCUAGUCUUAUCACCAGGAACUGUCUACAGAUAUUAAUUAGUUGCUUGUGAUUGGAGGAAGCUACCAUUUUCGUUAUUAAGAAACGGUCCUUGAAGCUGCAAGAUCGAGAAUUGAUGCUCAGUCUUGCCAAAGCAUAUAUUUUCAUACAUAUUGAUUAGUGAUCAAACUCUAAAUUAGGUGUGGCAAUUAUAUCCAUCAAUCCAUCCGAAGUAAGAAACUAGUUAAAUGGAUCAUUACUUAAUGGUAACUCCCUCCGUUCAUUUUUAUGUGUAGUUUGAAAAUCGUGCGUACUAUUCCUAUAACAUAUUUUGACCAUAAUUUUUAUUGAUAUAUAUAAAAACAAAUAAGACUGCAAAUACAAUUUCUUGUCACUAGAUGCAUGAUUAUUCAUAUUGAACUCAAAUAACAUAAUACAUAACCAACAGCACUCACUAGAUGUAUUAUUUUUGCUUGCUUGACGAUGA
rnacentral:lncRNA from 1 species